AUUCAGUCCACUUGGGUGCAAACUAAAUUGCCUAAUGCUUUGUUUUGAUUUGCCAUAUUCCAGCUAAAAGGAACUGCCAGACCCUGGAACUUAUGGCUCUGCUAGACUUAUCUUUUCUAUCAGCACUGAUGUGGUUGGAAUACUCUUCCUCAACAUGGAAAGGUCUCAAAUAGGCAGAAUGGACUGGUCUCCAGUUUCUCCAUGAGUGAUUUUAUAUUAUUAUGAAUUCAACAUACAUGAUAGGAAAUAGCAAAUAUGCUCCUGCUGAGACAAUGCUUCUGUGACUACAUGAGGUAUUUGGAAU
rnacentral:lncRNA from 1 species